rnacentral:rRNA from 1 species
AGGCCACUGCUAUCGGAGUUCGAUUAAGCCAUGCGAGUCGAGAGGUGUAAGACCUCGGCAUACUGCUCAGUAACACGUGGACAACCUACCCUGAAGAGGGGGAUAACCCCGGGAAACUGGGGAUAAUACCCCAUAGACUAUGGAUGCUGGAAUGCUUUGUAGUUGAAAGGUCCGCCGCUUCAGGAUGGGUCUGCGGCCGAUUAGGUUGUUGUUGGGGUAACGGCCCAACAAGCCUGUAAUCGGUACGGGUUGUGGGAGCAAGAGCCCGGAGAUGGAUUCUGAGACACGAAUCCAGGCCCUACGGGGCGCAGCAGGCGCGAAAACUUUACAAUGCGAGCAAUCGUGAUAAGGGAACUCCGAGUGCCUGUAAAAUCAGGCUGUCCGCCAGUGUAAAUAACUGGUGAAGAAAGGGCCGGGCAAGACCGGUGCCAGCCGCCGCGGUAAUACCGGCGGCUCGAGUGGUGGCCACUAUUACUGGGCUUAAAGCGUUCGUAGCUGGUCUGUUAAGUCUCUGGGGAAAUCUUCCGGCUUAACCGGAAGGCGUCUCAGGGAUACUGGCAGACUAGGGACCGGAAGAGGUGAGAGGUACUCCAGGGGUAGGAGUGAAAUCCUGUAAUCCUUGGGGGACCACCUGUUGCGAAGGCGUCUCACCAGGACGGCUCCGACAGUGAGGAACGAAAGCUGGGGGAGCAAACCGGAUUAGAUACCCGGGUAGUCCCAGCUGUAAACGAUGCGCGUUAGGUGUAUCGGUGACCACGAGUCACCGAGGUGCCGAAGAGAAAUCGUGAAACGCGCCGCCUGGGAAGUACGGUCGCAAGGCUGAAACUUAA